UACGAAGGGGGCUAGCGUUGCUCGGAAUCACUGGGCGUAAAGCGCACGUAGGCGGAUUGCUAAGUCAGGGGUGAAAUCCUGGAGCUCAACUCCAGAACUGCCCUUGAUACUGGCGGUCUCGAGUCCGGGAGAGGUGAGUGGAACUGCGAGUGUAGAGGUGAAAUUCGUAGAUAUCCGGAGGAACACCGGUGGCGAAGGCGGCUUCCUGGACCGACACUGACGCUGAGGCGCGAAAGCUAGGGGAGCAAACGGG
rnacentral:rRNA from 1 species